AUGAAGCUCCCGAGUUUCCAUUUACGCUCAUCGCUACUCGUGGCUUCCUUAGUCAUCCAACUGAUCACGGCAAUGGCCAGUAGUGGUGGUGGUAGCAGCGGUGCUGCGUCGUCGAUGGUGGCCGCGCUGAAGAAAUACAAUGCCAUGUUCACCUUUGGUGAUUCGAUGGAUGAGACCGGCAACAUAUGCGCCGCUAGCAGCAACAAGACGGAGCUUGACGUGCUCACCUGCACGCACUCGCCGUACGGCGAGACCUACUUCGGAAGGCCGGCUUGCCGGUGGUGCGACGGCCGCGUGGUUGUUGACUUCAUCGCACAAGCACUUGGACUCCCAUUUGUCCCACCAUCGAAAGCAAAAGGCAAAGAUUUUCGGCGUGGCGUAAGCAUGGCCAUUACUGGCGGCACGGCCAUGAACUUCUCCUUCUACAAAUCUCUCGGCAUCGAAGAUCCAGUGUGGAACCAUGGUUCACUAGACACACAGAUCCAGUGGUUCAAGGAGUUGAUGCCCUCCAUAUGCGGGACUGAACGAAGUUGCAAAGGAUACCUGAAAGAAUCACUGUUCAUGUUCGGUGGGUACGGCGGAAACGACUACAACGUGCAACUGCUUGAACUUGGCUUGACGCCAUUGCAGGCAAUGAACUACACCCCAAAGAUCGUCACUGCCAUCGCUAAUGGUGUCGAGAAACUGAUUGCUCUUGGCGCCGUGCACGUGGUCGUCCCGGGCAUCUUCCCAACGGGCUGCCUCCCGAUCUUCCUGUCCCUCUUCGGCGACGCCGCCAGCGAGACCGACUUCAACGACACCGGCUGCCUCAAGCCCUACAACCGCCUGACCGAGUACCACAACUCGCUGCUCCGGAAGCAGGUGGACGCCCUCCAGCGCAAGCACCACAACUCGACGAGGAUCAUGUACGCGGACUACUACGGCCUCGUGUACCGGAUGGUCCAGGAGCCCGAGAAGUUCGGGUUUAGCAAGCCGUUCGAGGCAUGCUGCGGGGCGGGAGGGGGGAAGUACAACUUCGACGUCACCGCGAGGUGCGGCAUGGAGGGGGCGACCACCGCGUGCAGCGACCCGUCGACGCGGCUGAGCUGGGACGGCAUCCACCCGACCGAGGAGGUGAACAAGGUGAUCGCCGGCGCAUUGCUCAGGGGACCCUAUUGCACCCCUCCGAUCUUAGGCUGA
rnacentral:rRNA from 1 species